UACGUAGGGCGCAAGCGUUGUCCGGAAUUAUUGGGCGUAAAGAGCUCGUAGGCGGUUUGUCGCGUCUGCUGUGAAAACCUAAGGCUCAACCUUGGGCUUGCAGUGGGUACGGGCAGACUAGAGUGCGGUAGGGGUGACUGGAAUUCCUGGUGUAGCGGUGGAAUGCGCAGAUAUCAGGAGGAACACCGAUGGCGAAGGCAGGUCACUGGGCCGCAACUGACGCUGAGGAGCGAAAGCAUGGGGAGCGAAUGGG
rnacentral:rRNA from 1 species